UACGUAGGGUGCAAGCGUUAAUCGGAAUUACUGGGCGUAAAGCGUGCGCAGGCGGUUAUGUAAGACAGAUGUGAAAUGCCCGGGCUUAACCUGGGGAACUGCAUUUGUGACUGCAUGGCUAGAGUUUGGCAGAGGGGGGUAGAAUUCCACGUGUAGCAGUGAAAUGCGUAGAUAUGUGGAGGAACACCGAUGGCGAAGGCAGCCCCCUGGGUCAAGACUGACGCUCAUGCACGAAAGGCGUGGGGAGCAAACAGG
rnacentral:rRNA from 1 species